rnacentral:rRNA from 1 species
GGGUUGUGAGGUUAAGCGACUAAGCGUACACGGUGGAUGCCCUGGCAGUCAGAGGCGAUGAAGGACGUGCUAAUCUGCGAAAAGCGUCGGUAAGGUGAUAUGAACCGUUAUAACCGGCGAUGUCCGAAUGGGGAAACCCAGUGCAAUUCGUUGCACUAUCGUUAACUGAAUACAUAGGUUAACGAGGCGAACCGGGGGAACUGAAACAUCUAAGUACCCCGAGGAAAAGAAAUCAACCGAGAUUCCCCCAGUAGCGGCGAGCGAACGGGGAGCAGCCCAGAGUCUGAAUCAGCUUGUGUGUUAGUGGAACGGUCUGGAAAGUCCGACGGUACAGGGUGAUAGUCCCGUACACCAAAAUGCACAGGCUGUGAACUCGAAGAGUAGGGCGGGACACGUGGUAUCCUGUCUGAAUAUGGGGGGACCAUCCUCCAAGGCUAAAUACUCCUGACUGACCGAUAGUGAACCAGUACCGUGAGGGAAAGGCGAAAAGAACCCCGGCGAGGGGAGUGAAAAAGAACCUGAAACCGUGUACGUACAAGCAGUGGGAGCACCUUCGGGUGUGACUGCGUACCUUUUGUAUAAUGGGUCAGCGACUUAUAUUCUGUAGCAAGGUUAACCGUAUAGGGGAGCCGCAGGGAAACCGAGUCUUAACUGGGCGUUAAGUUGCAGGGUAUAGACCCGAAACCCGGUGAUCUAGCCAUGGGCAGGUUGAAGGUUGGGUAACACUAACUGGAGGACCGAACCGACUAAUGUUGAAAAAUUAGCGGAUGACUUGUGGCUGGGGGUGAAAGGCCAAUCAAACCGGGAGAUAGCUGGUUCUCCCCGAAAGCUAUUUAGGUAGCGCCUCGUGAAUUCAUCUUCGGGGGUAGAGCACUGUUUCGGCUAGGGGGUCAUCCCGACUUACCAACCCGAUGCAAACUACGAAUACCGAAGAAUGUUAUCACGGGAGACACACGGCGGGUGCUAACGUCCGUCGUGAAGAGGGAAACAACCCAGACCGCCAGCUAAGGUCCCAAAGUCAUGGUUAAGUGGGAAACGAUGUGGGAAGGCACAGACAGCCAGGAUGUUGGCUUAGAAGCAGCCAUCAUUUAAAGAAAGCGUAAUAGCUCACUGGUCGAGUCGGCCUGCGCGGAAGAUGUAACGGGGCUAAACCAUGCACCGAAGCUGCGGCAGCGACACUAUGUGUUGUUGGGUAGGGGAGCGUUCUGUAAGCCUGCGAAGGUGUGCUGUGAGGCAUGCUGGAGGUAUCAGAAGUGCGAAUGCUGACAUAAGUAACGAUAAAGCGGGUGAAAAGCCCGCUCGCCGGAAGACCAAGGGUUCCUGUCCAACGUUAAUCGGGGCAGGGUGAGUCGACCCCUAAGGCGAGGCCGAAAGGCGUAGUCGAUGGGAAACAGGUUAAUAUUCCUGUACUUGGUGUUACUGCGAAGGGGGGACGGAGAAGGCUAUGUUAGCCGGGCGACGGUUGUCCCGGUUUAAGCAUGUAGGCUGAUUGUCCAGGCAAAUCCGGAUAAUCAAGGCUGAGGUGUGAUGACGAGGCACUACGGUGCUGAAGUAACAAAUGCCCUGCUUCCAGGAAAAGCCUCUAAGCAUCAGGUAACAUCAAAUCGUACCCCAAACCGACACAGGUGGUCAGGUAGAGAAUACCAAGGCGCUUGAGAGAACUCGGGUGAAGGAACUAGGCAAAAUGGUGCCGUAACUUCGGGAGAAGGCACGCUGGUGUGUAGGUGAAGUCCCUGCGGAUGGAGCUGAGACCAGUCGAAGAUACCAGCUGGCUGCAACUGUUUAUUAAAAACACAGCACUGUGCAAACACGAAAGUGGACGUAUACGGUGUGACGCCUGCCCGGUGCCGGAAGGUUAAUUGAUGGGGUUAUCCGUAAGGAGAAGCUCUUGAACGAAGCCCCGGUAAACGGCGGCCGUAACUAUAACGGUCCUAAGGUAGCGAAAUUCCUUGUCGGGUAAGUUCCGACCUGCACGAAUGGCGUAAUGAUGGCCAGGCUGUCUCCACCCGAGACUCAGUGAAAUUGAACUCGCUGUGAAGAUGCAGUGUACCCGCGGCAAGACGGAAAGACCCCGUGAACCUUUACUAUAGCUUGACACUGAACAUUGAGCCUUGAUGUGUAGGAUAGGUGGGAGGCUUUGAAGCGUGGACGCCAGUCUGCGUGGAGCCAACCUUGAAAUACCACCCUUUAAUGUUUGAUGUUCUAACGUUGGCCCCUGACCGGGGUUGCGGACAGUGUCUGGUGGGUAGUUUGACUGGGGCGGUCUCCUCCCAAAGCGUAACGGAGGAGCACGAAGGUUAGCUAAUCCUGGUCGGACAUCAGGAGGUUAGUGCAAUGGCAUAAGCUAGCUUGACUGCGAGCGUGACGGCGCGAGCAGGUGCGAAAGCAGGUCAUAGUGAUCCGGUGGUUCUGAAUGGAAGGGCCAUCGCUCAACGGAUAAAAGGUACUCCGGGGAUAACAGGCUGAUACCGCCCAAGAGUUCAUAUCGACGGCGGUGUUUGGCACCUCGAUGUCGGCUCAUCACAUCCUGGGGCUGAAGUAGGUCCCAAGGGUAUGGCUGUUCGCCAUUUAAAGUGGUACGCGAGCUGGGUUUAGAACGUCGUGAGACAGUUCGGUCCCUAUCUGCCGUGGGCGCUGGAGAAUUGAGGGGGGCUGCUCCUAGUACGAGAGGACCGGAGUGGACGCAUCACUGGUGUUCGGGUUGUCAUGCCAAUGGCACUGCCCGGUAGCUAAAUGCGGAAGAGAUAAGUGCUGAAAGCAUCUAAGCACGAAACUUGCCCCGAGAUGAGUUCUCCCUGAGACUUUAAGUCUCCUGAAGGAACGUUAAAGACGAUGACGUUGAUAGGCCGGGUGUGUAAGCGCAGCGAUGCGUUGAGCUAACCGGUACUAAUGAACCGUGAGGCUUAACCUUACAACGCCGAAG